CGCGCAGGCGGCUCUGAAAGUCAGAUGUGAAAGCCCCGGGCUUAACCUGGGAACUGCAUUUGAUACUCUGGAGCUUGAGUACGGGAGAGGAUAGUGGAAUUCCCAGUGUAGAGGUGAAAUUCGUAGAUAUUGGGAAGAACACCGGUGGCGAAGGCGGCUAUCUGGACCGUAACUGACGCUGAGGCGCGAAAGCGUGGGGAGCAAACAGGAUUAGAUACCCUGGUAGUCCACGCCGUAAACGAUGUGCGCUAGACGUUGGAAGGCUUAGCCUUUCGGUGUCGCAGCUAACGCGAUAAGCGCACCGCCUGGGGAGUACGGCCGCAAGGUUAAA
rnacentral:rRNA from 1 species